rnacentral:rRNA from 1 species
CCUACGGGUGACAGCAGUGGGGAAUAUUGCGCAAUGGGCGAAAGCCUGACGCAGCGACGCCGCGUGAGGGAUGAAGGUCUUCGGAUCGUAAACCUCUGUCAGCAGGGAAGAACGGUCACUGUGCUAAUCAGCAGUGAAUUGACGGUACCUGCAAAGGAAGCACCGGCUAACUCCGUGCCAGCAGCCGCGGUAAUACGGGGGGUGCGAGCGUUAAUCGGAAUUACUGGGCGUAAAGCGCUCGUAGGCGGUAUGUCAAGUCAAGGGUGAAAUCCCCGCGCUCAACGUGGGAACUGCCUUUGAAACUGGCAAACUGGAGUGUGUGAGAGGAUAGUGGAAUUCCAGGUGUAGGAGUGAAAGCCGUAGAUAUCUGGAGGAACAUCAGUGGCGAAGGCGACUAUCUGGCACAUAACUGACGCUGAGGAGCGAAAGCGUGGGUAGCAAACAGGAUUAGAUACCCCAGUAGUC